GGAUAGGAAGAAUCAAUAUCGUGAAAAUGGCCAUACUGCCCAAGAUACAGACUCUACUUUGUGUGUGGCAUGCUGAGACUACUGGGACCCUGAUAGCCCUAUUUCUGGCUCCUGAAGUGGUGGUUCCAUGCCAGACAACCUGAGAGGACCUCAGGCUGACCCCACCACCAAGCACUCAGCUCCUACAGCAGGAGUGUAAAACAGAGAGAAGCACUAUUCUCCCUGCCUGCAGUUCCAAAGUCCUGUUUCAGAGAUUUUGCCUGAGAGUUAGACCCAUAAACCAGAUUGUUCCUAAACUCUUCCCAAAGGAACUGACUUUAUUUGCAAGAGAGUGUGAAAAAAUUUAACCUACACAUGAUCUGAAGAACAGGAGAGAUUGUGGUAAAAGGUAAUGAGGAGAUUUGUUAAACUAAUGAAGAUAAAACAAGACUGUAGGGUGGCUAGUUUGUAGGAGAAAAGGAUGAAUAAGAUAGCCAAGAGGAGACCUAGGCUCAAAACUAAUAUCAAAUUCUGACAAAAAAUAUUUCAAAGUAGCUAUUGUAAAAAUGUUCACAGAGCUAGGGAAAAGCAUGAUUAAAGAAGUGAAAGGAGGUGUGAUGACAAUGGCACAUCAAAUUGAAAAUAUCAAUAAAGAAAUUAUUAAAAAUAACCAAACAAAUUCUGGAGUUGAAAAAUAUAAUAAUGAAAAUUUGAAGAAGUGCUCAGAAGUAGAUUUGAAUUUGAGUUGGUAGCGGAUAGAGUUUGUGAACUUGUAUAUAGAUUAAUAGAAAUUAUGCAGGCUGAAGAACAGAGAAAAAAGAAAAAUGAAUAGAUUUUCAAAGAAAUGUGGAACACUAUUAGGUAUGCCAAUGUACAAGUAAUGAGAAUAUCAGGAGAGGAGAAAGAAAGAGAAGAAAAAAUAUUCCAAAGAAUAAUAGCUGAAAGCUCUCUCAGUGUAUUGAAACAUAAUAACCUGUGCAACCAAGAAGAUCAACAAUCUCCAAGUAAGAUAAAUGCAAAGAGAUUCACAAACAGACCCAUUACAGCAAAAAAUGCUGAAAGUUAAACAUGAGAGAAAAUCUUGAAAGCAGCAAGAUAAAACAAAUGAAUCAAUUAUAAGGGAGCCAAUAAUAAGAUUAUCAGCUGAUUUGUCAGCAAAAACAAUGGAGGCCAAAAGGCAAUAAGAGAACAUAUUCAAAGUGCUCAAAAAAAACCCCUGUCAACCAAGAAUUUUAUAUUCAGCAAAUGUAUCUUUCAAAGUUCAAGAUAAAAGAGACUUUCCAAAAUAAACAAAAACACAGAUAAUUUGUUGCUAGCAAACCACCCUGUAAGAAAUACUAAAAGAAGUUCUUCAUGCUGAAAGUAAGUGACCUCAGACUGUAAUUUAAAUCCACACAAAGAGCAAAGGCUCCUUGGAUUAAUGUGCCUAAAAAUAGAAAUUGCUCAAAGAAUGAUAGAGGUAUGUUAAAGAACACACAAGCCAAACUGAAGGGACUUCCACUGGAUAAAUUGGGGAUAAGUUGACCACCAAAAUUUUAAAAAAUUGAUUAAUUGAUUAUAAACUAUUAAAUAGUGAACCAUGAACACACACUGAUUAAAUACAUAACUUUAUUGAUUGAUUGGAAGUGUGAUGAGGAAUGGGAUUUUAACAGUUUUAAAGCAUAUUUCUACCAAACGUUUAUUAAUUACAUAAAGAAAAAGAGUAAAUCCUGGUAGAUAAUACUUCAUUUAAAUAAUAGAUAUGAACUCCAUAAUAGGGCAAACUGAAAUUACAAGCCACUAUACAGUGUGAAGAACUAAACAUCUUUUUGUGGUAUUCUGGAAAAAGAAUCUUUACCUGGGCAUGAGGAAUCAUGAGAAAACUUUGGACAAAUCGGAAUGGAGAAACAUUUUACAAAAACCUGAAUUAAGGAAGAUUCCAGAAGCCUUCUGCCCCAGAGUCUUCUCCAAAGAUACAGGAGCUUGCUGGACCCACUUGCAAGGGAAGACUGGAAGUUGGGGAGUUAAUGCCGUCAUGACACUCUCAACCAGUGAAUCAUGAGCUAACUUCUGACUCAUGUGUAGUUGAAGCUUAUCCUUCAAGGACAGUCACCCUCCUACCAGCCACCUAGACUGGGAACCUGGAUAACCUUCCAGACAAAGCCCUCUCAUGCCCAGAAAAGGCCCUGCUGUGCUGUUCCUUUGAUGGUUAGUAGGUUUGCCCAUCCGGCAAGCAUAGCAGCUUUGCCUCCCUUCACCAAAGAGAAGUUCUGUAAAUGCUUGUCCUGAAUUUUAAAAACCAACAUGUUUUCCUCACUAUUAGCCAUCUAAGAGUUAGUCUUACUAAAUUUUUGUUAUAUUUGCCUAGUUCUCUGUCUGCUUAGAUAAACCUGAAUCAGUGUUAUCUUUAUUAGACCAUGUAUUCUUGAAAAUCAAAGAUUUCCAUUUUUUCCACUGGAAAAAUUCUAAUUACAUCAUAAAGGCACAAAAACAUAAUGCUGAUGCUGAUGCUGAUCAUAAAUACUCAGACUAUUAUAAUGUCUUUGUCUCAAUAAAAUUCUUUUGGUCCUGUGAUUCCAUCUCAUUUUAAAGACAAUUUAAUGCACAAUUAAUCUUUGUCUCCUGCAUUUCUCGAACCACUUCUUUGUGUGUGCUAAUUUGUCAAGCAAAACUUUAACCAACACCUCCUGGAAAUUUAGAAUAGAGAAUUUUGAGGCAUUCAUUUGAUUUCCUUGUCAUUUACUUCCUUAAAGAAGUCAAAAAAUUAUCGAAGCAUGACUUUUUCAUUCCAGAGACUGCAUUGGCUAUCCUUAAUCAAGCUGUGCUUUUCUCAGUGUUCCCCAUUUAAUCUCCUAAAAUACUUCCUAAGACGUUGCCCCCUACAAUGGAAUCAAAACUAAAUGGUCUGUAAUUUCCUCAAGUGUUCCCAGAUCCUGUUGUAAAUAAUGACAUUGUGCUGGCCACUUUCCAGUCUGAAUGAAGUGACCUUGUAAAAAUGUCUGCUUACUCUUCUAUAACGUCUUUUUCUACUUUCUGUAGGGCUCUUGGAUAGAGCUUGGCAAACAAUACCUAUUCCAAGAAACACCAUUCUUCACCUCAGUCAUGUUAUUUCCUUCAUAUAGGCAGUACUGUAUCCAGAGCUAAAAGACUUUUGCUUAAAAGUUAAUUAGUAUUUUAAAAUAAGGAAUUAUAGGUACGCUGUGGCAGAAGGCCAGCCUGUAUGACCUAUGAAUAUUUGAAUUGACAGGAAGAAAAUCUAUUGUGGUUUGUAAACUCUUCAAGAAAAUGUUGAACUUCCAUUCAAUCAUUAGAUAACUUUUAUUGUAAUCAUGUUCAGUAUCUUUUUUUGAUUAAAAAAAACCAAAAAACAUUUCCUGCGUUAUAGCACAAAACUAAUUAUUCCAAGCUGGCAGUUAGAAAAGGAGUAUUUCACUCUCUUGGUAGAGACAGUUGUUCUUUCUGAGCAAUUACAUUGUAUUCAAAUGAGAAAUAUGUGAUUUCUGGUUAAACCAAUGCUUUCCCCCUCUUCCCUGCAAAGAGGAUCAGGACAUCUGGUAUUGCCUAGGAAAAAGCAGCUAAACUCACUGAAGGGGCAGGGUACUUCUCACAUGAAGACAGACUAAAAAUACAAAAACCUAUUAGUGUGAAAUAACAAAAGCUGAAAGGGGAGAAAUAACUAGAACCUCUGAAUCCCAAGCUAUGUGGGACCACCAGCUAGACAAGCUAAUUAAAAUUUGCAGCCCCCUUUUUUUUUAUGGCCCACAUGGGCAUACGAGUUUUGUAAAUUAGAUGCAAGUUACUGCAACUAAAAGAAGUUAAAUAGAUGGAGAUAUUGGUAGUGUUCAACCCAAUGGCAGUGAUUUUAUUAUUUUCUUUAAGAAAAACCAAAGGGUAAUAAAUUUAUGGGAGCAUUUUGGACUUGAGAAAUCAAAUCAAGAUUUAAAAACAUUCUUGGAAGUUAUAAAGCUUACAAAUAGACCGGCAAAAUUUUUUCUUAAUAAGAUAAGAGCAAAAUAACUAUUUAAAAAAUGGCUGUUUCUGAUUUUCGGCAAAGUGAUUACCUUUGCUUGUGCUUUCAUAAAUAUAAACAUUACAUGCAUUUGUGGGGGUCAGUGUGUACUCUUUUACCUUCCCUUGGCAUUGCUCAUCUCUAUCAAACACCUACAACACAGUGUGCUCCAUUAUAGGAGACAGGCAGCACGGUUCUAUUUAAUUAACUAAUUGGAUGACUCAUCCUACACCUAAAUUAGCAUUAUUAGGUCUUUCAUAAUGAUUGUUGAAGCAUUGUAAAUUAAUUUUCUUACUGGCUAUAACCAUUAUUUGCUGCUAUCACAAUAUUAAGAGAUAAUCCCAUGCACAGUGGGAAAUCUCUAUGGGCAGAAAAUCAAUGUGGUCAUCCUUGGAUCACCAAUUAGGAAACCUAUUGUGUGGCAAAAACAUCAUUUCUAUGCUGUAAUAUGAUCAGAUAACCAUUAAUUACAUUCACUAGUAAGAAUUACCUUCUUUGUUGGAGAAGUAUUGCAUUCCAUAUUAUAGUUCAAAAAUGUCAGAGGAAACCAGCAACAAAAACAUCAAUUUCUAAAAAUGAUACAUGUAAUCUAAAUCAUAUUAACCUAACACGCUACAUGUCAAGUUAAAUUAGCAUAAGCUUUGUUACAGAACCUGAAUAAUAUAGCUUAUCUCUUAGCCUUUAGAUGUAUUGAUUAAAUAGGUCAUCCUCACCUGCCUACAAAUACAAAUAUAAUCAAACUGCACUGUUCUCUAGGGAACUGAAUGGCAAAAAACCUCUAGUAAGUGUCCAAUCCAGGCCUGUUUCUUUGUCUAAUACAGAGAUAACAGAAUGAAGAUAA